AUACUCCCAAACCCCCUGACGAACCGUACCACAGUUGCCUCGGCGGGGACCGCCCCGGCGCCGGGCCUUCGCGGGCCCGGCGCCGGAUCCCAAGGCGCCCGCCGCAGGGACACCGCAAAACUCCUGCAUCGCGCCCCCUGCGGCGCUCUCUACUCUCUGAGUGUCACGAUGAGAAAAUGAGUCAAAACUUUCAACAACGGAUCUCUUGGUUCUGGCAUCGAUGAAGAACGCAGCGAAAUGCGAUAAGUAAUGUGAAUUGCAGAAUUCAGUGAACCAUCGAAUCUUUGAACGCACAUUGCGCCCGCCAGCACUCUGGCGGGCAUGCCUGUCCGAGCGUCAUUUCGACCCUCGGGGCCCCCGGGGCCCCGGCGUUGGGGGACGGCGGCACCGCCGCCCCCGAAAUGCAGUGGCGACCCCGCCGCGCCCCUCCCCUGCGCAGUAAGCAAACCUCGCACCGGGAGGCGCGGAGGCGGUCACGCCGUGAAACGAAACGCUCAAUCCGUAGAGUUGACCUCGGAUCAGGUAGGAGUACCCGCUGAACUUGGACAUAUC
rnacentral:rRNA from 1 species